rnacentral:rRNA from 1 species
UACGGGGGGAGCAAGCGUUGUUCGGAUUUACUGGGCGUAAAGGGCGCGUAGGCGGUCAGCACAAGUCAGUUGUGAAAUCUCCGGGCUUAACUCGGAAAGGUCAACUGAUACUGUGCGACUAGAGUGCAGAAGGGGCAACUGGAAUUCUCGGUGUAGCGGUGAAAUGCGUAGAUAUCGAGAGGAACACCUGCGGCGAAGGCGGGUUGCUGGGCUGACACUGACGCUGAUGCGC